rnacentral:rRNA from 1 species
GACGAACGCUGGCGGCGUGCCUAAUACAUGCAAGUCGAGCGCAGGAAAUCGACGGAACCCUUCGGGGGGAAGUCGACGGAAUGAGCGGCGGACGGGUGAGUAACACGUAAAGAACCUGCCCUCAGGUCUGGGAUAACCACGAGAAAUCGGGGCUAAUACCGGAUGGGUCAUCGGACCGCAUGGUCCGAGGAUGAAAGGCGCUUCGGCGUCGCCUGGGGAUGGCUUUGCGGUGCAUUAGCUAGUUGGUGGGGUAAUGGCCCACCAAGGCGACGAUGCAUAGCCGACCUGAGAGGGUGGUCGGCCACACUGGGACUGGGACACGGCCCAGAUUCCUACGGGAGGCAGCAGUAGGGAAUCUUCCACAAUGGACGAAAGUCUGAUGGAGCAACGCCGCGUGAACGAUGAAGGCCUUCGGGUCGUAAAGUUCUGUUGUAAGGGAAGAACAAGUGCCGCAGGCAAUGGCGGCACCUUGACGGUACCUUGCGAGAAAGCCACGGCUAACUACGUGCCAGCCGCCGCCGUAA